rnacentral:lncRNA from 1 species
AAGCAGUCCAGCGCUUUUCUUUCUCAGGAGCCUCUCUUUCCACCAGCGGAGGAGGAGACAGAUGCCUUCCAGCUGCUGGCUGGUCCCCAGGACCCCACUGCCACUGAGAGCUGACGAGUGGUCGAGUGCACGGCAAGUAUGUGCAGCUUGGAGAGGUGCAGUGACGUGCCUGAGGUCUACGGCCCCAAAUGGCAGAUGAGGGGCUCAAUUCCAGGCUUGUCUGUGGGGUGCCCUCCCUGGACACAAGGACUGCCAACCCUGUGUGAAUGUGAGCCUCAUGAAGGAGACAGGUGAGAAGCCUGAGUGCUGGUGGCUGUAGGCUGCUAAACUGUAAAUACAGAUAAUGUCCAAAGCACUGGU